rnacentral:rRNA from 1 species
AUUGAACGCUGGCGGCAGGCUUAACACAUGCAAGUCGAGCGAGUGGCGGACGGGUGAGUAAUGUCUGGGAACGUGCCUGAUGGAGGGGGAUAACUACUGGAAACGGUAGCUAAUACCGCAUACCAUCAGAUGUGCCCAGAUGGGAUUAGCUAGUAGGUGGGGUAAAGGCUCACCUAGGCGACGAUCCGUAGCUGGUCUGAGAGGAGGACCAGCCACACUGGGACUGAGACACGGCCCAGACUCCUACGGGAGGCAGCAGUGGGGAAUAUUGGACAAUGGGGGCAAGCCUGAUGCAGCCAUGCCGCGUGUGUGAAGAAGGCCUUCGGGUUGUAAAGCACUUUCGGCGAGGAGGCGUUACUCGCAGAAGAAGCACCGGCUAACUCCGUGCCAGCAGCCGCGGUAAUUC